rnacentral:lncRNA from 1 species
AGAACUCAUGGACUCAACAGAUUGUCCCACCUCAGCCUCUCAAAGUGCUGGGAUUAUAGAUGGAGUCUUGUUGUCGCCCAGGCUGCUGGAGUGCAAUGGUGCAAUCUUGGCUCACUGCAACCUCUGUCUCCUGGAUUCAAGCGAUUCUGCCUCAGCCUCCCAAGUAGCUGGAAUUACAGCUCAAAGGACCUGUCAUAAAAAUAUUAACUUGUAAUAAAAGUGUUUAGUAGCACUAAUAUGUGAUGGCAAUUUCAGGAAAGUCAAUGUUCUGAGCAAGAAGAACAAGGAACAGAAGGUAUAAUGAUAACAGAUGAGAGAGGAAAAAGCAGACUCAAUCAACCCUUACGUUUCCAUCAUUUUUCCAUUACAGAGAAUUAUCCUCAAAUUAGAAGGAGUAGGACCUACAUGGUAAAGAAAAAAUUUACGUGCAAGGCAGAUGAGGAAGUAAGAGAGCAUCCAGCCACUUCACACAACUUCAUUCUCUGUCUUACCAAAAGAAUGUGAAAUGUGGUGGUAGCUUUACUGGGGACAGGAGAGGUGCCAGAAGUUUGAAGAUGGACUAAUCUCCUCGUUUUCUAAAAGAAGAACCUAUAAGUCUCUGAGCACAUUUUUCCUUGGCAAAAUU